UACGGAGGGAGCUAGCGUUGUUUCGGAAUUACUGGGCGUAAAGCGCACGUAGGCGGCUAUUCAAGUCAGAGGUGAAAGCCCGGGGCUCAACCCCGGAACUGCCUUUGAAACUAGAUAGCUAGAAUCUUGGAGAGGUCAGUGGAAUUCCGAGUGUAGAGGUGAAAUUCGUAGAUAUUCGGAAGAACACCAGUGGCGAAGGCGACUGACUGGACAAGUAUUGACGCUGAGGUGCGAAAGCGUGGGGAGCAAACAGGG
rnacentral:rRNA from 1 species